GCGACUCUUGAAAUUUACCAUAAUCUUUAGUGUAAAAAACAAAUAUUAAGAAUCAUGGCAUGAGCUCUGAAAAAGAAUCAUACCAUAUUAUCUUUAAGGAAGUCUCGAGUUAGUGUGGAAACCAUAAAAUCUGAUGGUAAGAGACAAGUUAUAUUUCGAUUAUUAUUUAUAAGAAUUCCUACUAAGCUCGCUGCUUUGUGGCAUUCACUUUGACAAAAAGUUGUGGAACAACAACUGUACAAUAAGAAGAAGAUCAAUGACAAUAGAUAAAAAGAAAAAGAGUGCUAACAGAGAAGACGAGGAAGAAGAUGAAGAGGUCGCUACUCUUGAAAUUUACCAAACUCUUUAGUGUACAAAACAAAAUUGAAAUCAUGGGAGUUUUGGAAAAAAUAGACCAUAUAAAAUCUACAUAAACAGACUGGUUCCAACCAUUAUUGCUAAGGUUCCUAGUGAAAGAUCAAACUUAAGCUUCAAGGGAGUCUCAAAUAGCGUUGAAACUGUGCCAUCUGAUUGUCAGAGACAAAUUACAUUUAGAAUAUUAUUUAUAAAGAUAUCUGAAAAGCUAUCUACUUUAUGGUAUUCAG
rnacentral:lncRNA from 1 species